GGACGAACGCUGGCGGCGUGCCUAACACAUGCAAGUCGAACGGGACUUAAUGGAAUGCGGCUUCGGCCAAAGGAAGUUAAGUUUAGUGGCGAACGGGUGAGUAACGCGUGAGGAACCUGCCUUUCAGUGGGGACAACAGUUGGAAACGACUGCUAAUACCGCAUGAAGCAUUCGGGUCGCAUGGCCUGAAUGCCAAAGAUUUUAUCGCUGAAAGAUGGCCUCGCGUCUGAUUAGCUAGUUGGUGAGGUAACGGCCCACCAUGGCGACGAUCAGUAGCCGGUCUGAGAGGAUGAACGGCCACAUUGGGACUGAGAUACGGCCCAGACUCCUACGGGAGGCAGCAGUGGGGAAUAUUGGGCAAUGGGGGAAACCCUGACCCAGCAACGCCGCGUGAAGGAAGAAGGCCCUCGGGUUGUAAACUUCUUUUAGCAGGGACGAAGAACGUGACGGUACCUGCAGAAAAAGCAACGGCUAACUACGUG
rnacentral:rRNA from 1 species